rnacentral:rRNA from 1 species
CAGAGAGUGCGAACGUUGUUCGGAAUUACUGGGCUUAAAGCGCACGUAGGCGGCAUCGUAAGUGUCUGGUGAAAUCCCACGGCUCACCCGUGGAACUGCCAGGCAUACUGUGAUGCUCGAGUGUGGUAGGGGAGAGCGGAACUCCUGGUGGAGCGGUGAAAUGCGUAGAUAUCAGGAGGAACACCGGUGGCGAAGGCGGCUCUCUGGUCCACAACUGACGCUGAGGUGCGAAAGCUAGGGGAGCAAACGGGAUUAGAUACCCCGGUAGUCCUAGCUGUAAACGAUGGGCACUAGCUUGGGGUCUCCCUGUGUGAUCCCAGGUGUAGCAAAAGUGAUAAGUGCCCCGCCUGGGGAGUAUGGUCGCAAGGCUG